UGAGGAACAUGACCUUCGGCGGGGGAUAGCCGGCCCAACGGCCGGGUAAUACCGCGUACGACCACAUGGGGACAUCCCUGAGUGGUGAAAGCAGCAAUGCGCCGAUGGAGUGCCUCGCGGCCUAUCAGCUAGUUGGUGAGGUAACGGCUCACCAAGGCAACGACGGGUANCUGGUCUGAGAGGAUGGCCAGCCACAUUGGGACUGAGACACGGCCCAGACCUNUACCGGGGAG
rnacentral:rRNA from 1 species